rfam:Anopheles melas strain CM1001059_A cont2.2468, whole genome shotgun sequence.
CCUUCGAUAGCUCAGUUGGUAGAGCGGUGGACUGUAGCGAAAGUUAGGAGAAGUGCGAUCAUGUGAUCAAAUACUCCGAUCAUUGUAGAAAUCCAUAGGUCACUGGUUCAAAUCCGGUUCGAAGGA